GCAGCUCCGGAAGGGAGAUCUGUGUACAGCUGUCAGCCCUGCACGCCAGUGACAGUCCCUGCGGCUGUGACCCCUGCUCUCCGCUCACUGCCGUGGGCACUGUAAACGGACAGUGGGGCUGUGCGGCUGGAUGCAACGAGGAUGAAAGCCGUCAGUUGUUGCAGUGAGUGUCAGUGUAGAGCAGGGGUGACAUCUGUGCACACUGAGCAGAGAGCGGGGCUAUGCAAGUGAGGUUGCAGGGGGACGGGAGUGAGAGCGAGGCAGCAGGGAUGGCAGUUGCUCUAAGAGUGAGACUGCAGGGGGAGGGAGUGAGAGCGAGGCAGCAGGAAUGGUAGGCGCUCUGCGCGUGAGCUAAGCAUCUGGCUGUGAAAUAAUGAGUCUGCUGGCUCCUCCUCGGUGAAGUGUGGGUGGAAUCAGUCCCCCCCAGCAGGCUUCAGUGACGUAGAGCCUGCUGGCAGCUCACACUAUGUGAGCAAGAAGAAAGGUUUUGAUUUUAAAAAUCUGUCGCACUGCGACAGAAUUUUCAUUGAGAUACAUUUAUGCAUGCACCAGAUUUUAAUGUGAGACAGUAUUAACCCUGCGACAGAUUUUGAAGGCUGUCCGGCCAUACUAGGAAUUGUAGUUUUUCAACAGCUGGAGACACGAUGUUUGGAGAACACUGGAUUUUGGAUACCUUUAGGAUUGGAGAAUGCAUCCUAGCCUACCACAAGAUCAAGCACAUAAUUAGGUUGCCUUGAAAUCAGGACGGUCCAACAUUCAAAAUCCAGUAAUAAGGCUAAAAUAGGAAGAGAUCUCCUCCCCUGGUCUGUCCCAGCCACACCCCUUUUCCACAGGUCUCAGCGGUGAGGACAGCUGGGAAAUGUAGUUUUAAAAGGUUGUACUGGAGGAAGGAGCAGCAAAAAAAUAGAGCAGUGGGCAAAGGAUGACUGUGCAUCGGGGAGCAGUAAAUGGUGCCAGGAACAACUCAAGGGGACUAUGAAAUGGAAUGAUAGGAGUAGUCACACCUAACAAAGACGGCAUUAAUUAAGAUUUCACAAAUGAAACAAAAGCGCGAUUAUCCUCACUCCAGUAGAGUGCACCAACCCUAGAUAAAAGCAAUUGCAUUUCAAUAUAUUUGUGUACAACCUUCAUUAAAACAUCAGCCAAGCGAGAAAGAACGCGCUACUAAAAGAAUGAACAUAUUAUUCUGUAAACCAGCGAAGCUCGUAUCAAGACAGCUCAUAAAAACAGGCACGUCCUUUCAGAAUUACAUAAUUUUUGGUAUGCAGCAAGUCAUUAAAAUGUUAUAAAGCUAUUUUGUGAAGAGUUUAGAACAUCUGUGCACAUUGCUUAGAUGCAUUUUACAGAGUAAAUAGUUUUACCCCCUUCGUUGUUAUGGAUUUAUA